rnacentral:rRNA from 1 species
GCCAGGGCUGUUAUACAGAGAAACUCAGUCUCGAAAAACCAAGAAAAGAAAAAAGCCUGGUCUUGGAAGUUAAACAGGGUUAAACCUGGUUAGUGCUUGGAUGGGAGACUGCCUGGGAAUACCAGGUGCUGGAGGCU